ANNUUGCNCAUGGANCAGUCUGAGGNGCCCGUCCGCGUGCAGUGAUGACGGCCCUCGGUUGGAAAACUGUGUUUAUAUGGGGAAAAGGUGGGGGACGUGUUCCCUUUUGCACGUGCCGUAUCAAUAAAGACCGGCUAAUUCUGAGCCAGUGCCCGCGGUCAUACAAAUAC
rnacentral:rRNA from 1 species